UAAAACUAAUAACGGAAUAUUGUCAGAGGAGUGAAACAUUUGGAGGUCCUUCAAGGGAUUGGCUAAGCAUAUAUGAUGAAUGCUCAAACUUGUCCAUUGGACUAUACUUCCUCAAAAGUGCUAACCUUGGAGUAUGUUCCAGGAAUUAAGAUAAAUGACAUGGAAAAAUAGAGGCACG